ACGAGUGUCCUCAGAGAAAAAGUCAAAAAAGCGGGAUCACAAAGAAAUUAAACGGCCAUUGAAACUCUUUGAGAGGGUUUUUCGGGAUAGUCAUUGCUCUGGGACUCGGGAAGAAAAAGGCAAAGACAUCACAAAAGGAAGAGUGCUAGCAUGGGUUGAAAAAGAUGAUCUCUCAAAGCCUACAACUACAGAGAAAAAGUCUUCUGCAGAUGAAGUGGAAAUCAUCAGGCUAAAACCUUCCAAAUCAGGUAAAUUUUAUAAUUCAACAGGAUCUUGGAAGAAAAAAAAU